GGGUUGUGAGGUUAAGCGACUAAGCGUACACGGUGGAUGCCCUGGCAGUCAGAGGCGAUGAAGGACGUGCUAAUCUGCGAUAAGCGUCGGUAAGGUGAUAUGAACCGUUAUAACCGGCGAUUUCCGAAUGGGGAAACCCAGUGUGAUUCGUCACACUAUCAUUAACUGAAUCCAUAGGUUAAUGAGGCGAACCGGGGGAACUGAAACAUCUAAGUACCCCGAGGAAAAGAAAUCAACCGAGAUUCCCCCAGUAGCGGCGAGCGAACGGGGAGCAGCCCAGAGCCUGAAUCAGUGUGUGUGUUAGUGGAAGCGUCUGGAAAGGCGCGCGAUACAGGGUGACAGCCCCGUACACAAAAAUGCACAUGCUGUGAGCUCGAUGAGUAGGGCGGGACACGUGGUAUCCUGUCUGAAUAUGGGGGGACCAUCCUCCAAGGCUAAAUACUCCUGACUGACCGAUAGUGAACCAGUACCGUGAGGGAAAGGCGAAAAGAACCCCGGCGAGGGGAGUGAAAAAGAACCUGAAACCGUGUACGUACAAGCAGUGGGAGCACGCUUAGGCGUGUGACUGCGUACCUUUUGUAUAAUGGGUCAGCGACUUAUAUUCUGUAGCAAGGUUAACCGAAUAGGGGAGCCGAAGGGAAACCGAGUCUUAACUGGGCGUUAAGUUGCAGGGUAUAGACCCGAAACCCGGUGAUCUAGCCAUGGGCAGGUUGAAGGUUGGGUAACACUAACUGGAGGACCGAACCGACUAAUGUUGAAAAAUUAGCGGAUGACUUGUGGCUGGGGGUGAAAGGCCAAUCAAACCGGGAGAUAGCUGGUUCUCCCCGAAAGCUAUUUAGGUAGCGCCUCGUGAAUUCAUCUCCGGGGGUAGAGCACUGUUUCGGCAAGGGGGUCAUCCCGACUUACCAACCCGAUGCAAACUGCGAAUACCGGAGAAUGUUAUCACGGGAGACACACGGCGGGUGCUAACGUCCGUCGUGAAGAGGGAAACAACCCAGACCGCCAGCUAAGGUCCCAAAGUCAUGGUUAAGUGGGAAACGAUGUGGGAAGGCCCAGACAGCCAGGAUGUUGGCUUAGAAGCAGCCAUCAUUUAAAGAAAGCGUAAUAGCUCACUGGUCGAGUCGGCCUGCGCGGAAGAUGUAACGGGGCUAAACCAUGCACCGAAGCUGCGGCAGCGACACUGUGUGUUGUUGGGUAGGGGAGCGUUCUGUAAGCCUGCGAAGGUGUGCUGUGAGGCAUGCUGGAGGUAUCAGAAGUGCGAAUGCUGACAUAAGUAACGAUAAAGCGGGUGAAAAGCCCGCUCGCCGGAAGACCAAGGGUUCCUGUCCAACGUUAAUCGGGGCAGGGUGAGUCGACCCCUAAGGCGAGGCCGAAAGGCGUAGUCGAUGGGAAACAGGUUAAUAUUCCUGUACUUGGUGUUACUGCGAAGGGGGGACGGAGAAGGCUAUGUUGGCCGGGCGACGGUUGUCCCGGUUUAAGCGUGUAGGCUGGUUUUCCAGGCAAAUCCGGAAAAUCAAGGCUGAGGCGUGAUGACGAGGCACUACGGUGCUGAAGCAACAAAUGCCCUGCUUCCAGGAAAAGCCUCUAAGCAUCAGGUAACAUCAAAUCGUACCCCAAACCGACACAGGUGGUCAGGUAGAGAAUACCAAGGCGCUUGAGAGAACUCGGGUGAAGGAACUAGGCAAAAUGGUGCCGUAACUUCGGGAGAAGGCACGCUGAUAUGUAGGUGAAGUCCCUCGCGGAUGGAGCUGAAAUCAGUCGAAGAUACCAGCUGGCUGCAACUGUUUAUUAAAAACACAGCACUGUGCAAACACGAAAGUGGACGUAUACGGUGUGACGCCUGCCCGGUGCCGGAAGGUUAAUUGAUGGGGUCAGCGCAAGCGAAGCUCUUGAUCGAAGCCCCGGUAAACGGCGGCCGUAACUAUAACGGUCCUAAGGUAGCGAAAUUCCUUGUCGGGUAAGUUCCGACCUGCACGAAUGGCGUAAUGAUGGCCAGGCUGUCUCCACCCGAGACUCAGUGAAAUUGAACUCGCUGUGAAGAUGCAGUGUACCCGCGGCAAGACGGAAAGACCCCGUGAACCUUUACUAUAGCUUGACACUGAACAUUGAGCCUUGAUGUGUAGGAUAGGUGGGAGGCUUUGAAGUGUGGACGCCAGUCUGCAUGGAGCCGACCUUGAAAUACCACCCUUUAAUGUUUGAUGUUCUAACGUUGACCCGUGAUCCGGGUUGCGGACAGUGUCUGGUGGGUAGUUUGACUGGGGCGGUCUCCUCCUAAAGAGUAACGGAGGAGCACGAAGGUUGGCUAAUCCUGGUCGGACAUCAGGAGGUUAGUGCAAUGGCAUAAGCCAGCUUGACUGCGAGCGUGACGGCGCGAGCAGGUGCGAAAGCAGGUCAUAGUGAUCCGGUGGUUCUGAAUGGAAGGGCCAUCGCUCAACGGAUAAAAGGUACUCCGGGGAUAACAGGCUGAUACCGCCCAAGAGUUCAUAUCGACGGCGGUGUUUGGCACCUCGAUGUCGGCUCAUCACAUCCUGGGGCUGAAGUAGGUCCCAAGGGUAUGGCUGUUCGCCAUUUAAAGUGGUACGCGAGCUGGGUUUAGAACGUCGUGAGACAGUUCGGUCCCUAUCUGCCGUGGGCGCUGGAGAACUGAGGGGGGCUGCUCCUAGUACGAGAGGACCGGAGUGGACGCAUCACUGGUGUUCGGGUUGUCAUGCCAAUGGCACUGCCCGGUAGCUAAAUGCGGAAGAGAUAAGUGCUGAAAGCAUCUAAGCACGAAACUUGCCCCGAGAUGAGUUCUCCCUGACUCCUUGAGAGUCCUGAAGGAACGUUGAAGACGACGACGUUGAUAGGCCGGGUGUGUAAGCGCAGCGAUGCGUUGAGCUAACCGGUACUAAUGAACCGUGAGGCUUAACCUUAC
rnacentral:rRNA from 1 species